rnacentral:misc_RNA from 1 species
UACGGAGGAUCGAAUCGUUAUCGGGGAUGAUUGGGUUUGAAGGGGCCGUAGGCGGGUUGAUAAGUCAGUGGUGAAAGUCUGCAGCUUAACUGUAGAAUUGCCAUUGAUACUGUUGACCUUGAGUAAUUAUGAAGUGGUUAGAAUAUGUAGUGUAGCGGUGAAAUGCAUAGAUAUUACAUAGAAUACCGAUUGCGAAGGCAGAUCACUAAUAAUUUACUGACGCUGAGGGACGAAAGCGUAGGUAGCGACCAGG